AUUGAACGCUGGCGGCAGGCCUAACACAUGCAAGUCGAACGAGUGGCGGACGUGUGAGUAAUGUCUGGGAAACUGCCUGAUGGCGGGGGAUAACUAUUGGAAACUGUAGCUAAUACCGCAUACCAUCGGAUGUGCCACGAUGGGAUUGGCUAGUAGUUGGGGUAAAGGCUCACCUAGGCGACGAUCCCUAGCUGGUCUGAGAGGAUGACCAGCCACACUGGAACUGAGACACGGUCCAGACUCCUACGGGAGGCAGCAGUGGGGAAUAUUGCACAAUGGGCGCAAGCCUGAUGCAGCCAUGCCGCGUGUAUGAAGAAUGCCUUCGGGUUGUAAAGUACUUUCAGCGGGGAGGCGUUACCCGCAGAAGAAGCACCGGCUAACUCCGUGCCAGCAGCCGCGGUAAUUC
rnacentral:rRNA from 1 species